AUACGGAGGGUCCAAGCGUUAUCCGGAUUCAUUGGGUUUAAAGGGUCCGCAGGCGGGAAAAUAAGUCAGUGGUGAAAGCCUACAGCUCAACUGUAGAACUGCCAUUGAAACUGUUUUUCUUGAGUAUAGAUGAAGUGGGCGGAAUAUAUCAUGUAGCGGUGAAAUGCAUAGAUAUGAUAUAGAACACCGAUUGCGAAGGCAGCUCACUAAACUAUUACUGACGCUCAGGGACGAAAGCGUGGGGAGCGAACAGGAUUAGAUACCCUUGUAGUCC
rnacentral:rRNA from 1 species